GAAGGCCGACUGCCCUGGGUCCCGGCCUGCGCGCAGCGUUUCCCAAGAGUUCCUUCUUGGCGUUAGAGUCAUCGGCCGGCUGUGUUGUAGCCAAUGUGCUGAGCUUUGCGGCUCCUGGAGCUAGCUCCCUUCCUCUCCGCUGCCUCCAUGCGUGGAGGUCACUUGCUGGAACGCAGAUGUGUGCAAUGCCCAGAGAUCCAAGUAAAAUAUCUCAACCGGUUCUUGUGGUUGUGGAAACACCUUUGGCUCCCAGAUGGUUGACACUGACAAACAGAAGUCCCUGCUCCGUCUGACAUCACGUGGCUCAGCUGCCUUCUCAAAAAGUGAGCUUCCUGUGUGGAUAAGGCAGCCCCAUAGCCAGCCUGGCAACAGACAGCUUCAUGAGAAGGGAAAAGAUGAAGACGGAUUCCCGGGCGAGGCCGACAGUGAGGCCGACAGUGGAUCCGCCAUUCCUGCCUGAGCCUCUUCCACAGCUGUCCUUUUUAGAGGUCACCAGACCUUCCUCACACAGACCUCAUGGUGCCCGCACCUGGACUCAUUAGAAGUCUUAGGGCUGGAAGAGAUGCAGCUCUGGGCUGGCUCUGAUGCGGACUUGUCACAAAGGCUUGGGCCUGCCUGUCUAGGAUCCUGUCUCUGCAGCUCUGCCCACGUGACCGUAUCCUUGGAAGAAAAAAAAAAUGGGGAUGCACAAAGUGACCAGCACAGGGUAUUCGUGAUGACCGGGGAACAGAGAUUGAGAAAGCAAGAGCCUUCCUGGCAAAUCUGGGUUCAGACGCGGCAGAGACAGCUGUUUCCAGCCACUGCUAUGAACCCAUCUAAGUGAAAUUGUGAGGACUAAGGAGAGAGGCACCCAUGACUGCCUUAAUCCACUCCUACCCAUCGUCUCUUCACCCAUCCACCCAUCCUUGCUGCAGACCUUUACUGGGCACCUGUGCCAGGAGACCAUCACUGCCCAUCAGAAGCUCAUACAGGGAGAAGCAGUGGCCACAGCAGAAGGCGUCCCGGGUCCUAGAGAGCACCUGGAGAACAAGGGAGAGCUGCAGAAACCGCCCUGUCUGCAUAUUCCCAGGGUUCUCAAGGCAGAGGAAAGCGACAAUUAGGGCAACACCCAUGUUGGUUGGAUCAGAGUGAAUCCCAGGCCUGCUUGGGAGGCUUUAGGCACUCAGCUCGGCCAUCUCUGAGGAGCCUCCAGAUGCUCAGAGUCUUGCAGGCUCAGAACAAGAAUUGUCAACUUGCCAAGAUGAAUCUGUCUCUCGGGGGAGGACCCACACAGAACAAACGUUUGAAGCAGAAGUUUGCUUGGUAAACAUGGAAUCGGAACAUGGGAAUUGGGCCACUGGGAUAUUCAAUUGCGUCAGACCAUUGUAGCUGAUACUCCUGGACAGAGGGGCUUUGCCAACUGGACAGAUAUAUGAAGUGUUGCUGACCGAGCUCCUUGCUCUGUGUGGGAGGGAUCUUGCCAGCUCCAGCCUUGGUGGGUCUCCUUUUUCUGUUUCCAAGCUUAAAUAAGCACUUGGCUGUUCUGAUUAGCACUUUUAAAAGCUGUGUUAAUAAGUUCAAUUAAAAUAGAAGAAUCUCUCAUUCUGUCAUAUCGGGUUUUUUUAAUUGCAAACCAAUAAAACUUAAAUGAACUUGAGCAAAA
rnacentral:lncRNA from 10 species